CACUUAUUUGGCACAAAAUCGCAUACAAAACAAAGCCUUUUUCCUUAGAAGAAACCUGUUGAAAGGUAGUAAUUAAGAUGGCACUUGCAGCUUCCACCCAGAUUGAAGUACCUGACAUCGCACGACCUCGGGCAGAUUUUCCUCCAAACAUUUGGGAGGAUAUUUUCCUUCAAUAUGAUUCAGAAUCUUUGGAAGUCAGUGAAAAUGUGAAGCAACAUGCUCAAACACUAAAAGAGGAGGUGAAAACAAUGUUU